UACGUAGGGUGCAAGCGUUAAUCGGAAUUACUGGGCGUAAAGCGUGCGCAGGCGGCUUUGCAAGACAGAUGUGAAAUCCCCGGGCUAACCUGGGAACUGCAUUUGUGACUGCAUGGCUGGAGUGCGGCAGAGGGGGAUGGAAUUCCGCGUGUAGCAGUGAAAUGCGUAGAUAUGCGGAGGAACACCGAUGGCGAAGGCAAUCCCCUGGGCCUGCACUGACGCUCAUGCACGAAAGCGUGGGGAGCAAACAGG
rnacentral:rRNA from 1 species